rnacentral:rRNA from 1 species
AUUGAACGCUGGCGGCAGGCUUAACACAUGCAAGUCGAGCGGAGAGAGGUAGCUUGCUACUGAUCUUAGCGGCGGACGGGUGAGUAAUGCUUAGGAACCUGCCUAUUAGUGGGGGACAACAUUUCGAAAGGAAUGCUAAUACCGCAUACGUCCUACGGGAGAAAGCAGGGGAUCUUCGGACCUUGCGCUAAUAGAUGAGCCUAAGUCGGAUUAGCUAGUUGGUGGGGUAAAGGCCUACCAAGGCGACGAUCUGUAGCGGGUCUGAGAGGAUGAUCCGCCAGACUGGGACUGAGACACGGCCCAGACUCCUACGGGAGGCAGCAGUGGGGAAUAUUGGACAAUGGGCGCAAGCCUGAUCCAGCCAUGCCGCGUGUGUGAAGAAGGCCUUAUGGUUGUAAAGCACUUUAAGCGAGGAGGAGGCUACUUUAGAUAAUACCUAGAGAUAGUGGACGUUACUCGCAGAAUAAGCACCGGCUAACUCUGUGCCAGCCGCCGCGGUAA